AUAUGGGUGCCAGAAUUUGAUGGGUUAGUUUUAAGCACUAAAUAUGAGUUUUCUCCCCGUAUA
rnacentral:tRNA from 1 species